rnacentral:rRNA from 1 species
UUAACGACUCUCGGCAACGGAUAUCUCGGCUCUCGCAUCGAUGAAGAACGUAGCGAAAUGCGAUACUUCUUUGAACGCAAGUUGCGCCCGAAGCCAUUAGGCCAAGGGCACGCCUGCCUGGGCGUCUCACA